UGUGUGUGUGUGUGUGUGUGUGUGCGUGUUCGCACGCGAGCAACUAUUUUAAGACAUGAAAAGUCAGCAGGAAGUCAACAGCAAAUGCCUCUUCCAGGCCUCACCCCGCUAGAGAAGGUGCAGCCGGUUCCACCUGGCCGGGGUCUCCCCACCUGGGGUCCUGCAGCCCUGGGCACCGCAGCCACCUCUGUGGCAGGGAUGCUGCCCCUCGCCUCGUCCCUGUUGCCGUCACCGGCACCGCCACUCCGCGGGGCUCUCAGCCACCCGAGCUCUGGCGUCUUUGCCGGUCGUCUCAGGAAGUGCCACGCUGAGUGCUAGGCUGCCUGCUCCUGCCCUCUUCCUGCUUCCUGUCCAGGAACCUCGGACCCCAGGAGCCAAACUUCCAGCCUCCUGCCUCAGCCUCCCAGAGCGCAGGGAUUAUAGGCGUGUGUGCCACUAGGACUGGUUCAGAGACUUCCUAGAAUGAAAUUCUUUCCACUGUCACCGGAAAAAUAUGCAGUAUCUCCUUGCCACCUACAGAAGUUCAAGCCCAACCCACCCAGUCAGGCUCUUUCCUGUCUUGUACCGCAUGGCCCCACUGUGUCCCUACACAGCAGACAAGCUUGAAUUUUCCAAAUGCGCUUGCUUGUCUAACUUUGCAGCUCUCCACCUGGAGUCUCAUGAUCCCUGUGCCCAAAUGUCCGGGUUCUAACUCCUGUCAAGGCCAAGCUAAGGAAGCCCUCAACCGCCUGUCCAGCAGCCCUCCUUAGCGGGAGAGGCCCGAUCCAAGCUCCCAAGCUCCCUCCCCUCGUCCGCUCCUGCCUUCUCGGUCUUCACCUCUGCGGGUUGUUCAGAUGUCAGGAAAUACACCCCCCCCUCACACCCCGCCCCCAUGUGCAUUAGGAUUCUCCUCCGUCCUCUGGAUCCGGCCUGAGCUCCAGACUUGCUCUGGCUGAUGGGACAUCUGUCUUGUGCGAUGCUCCCACCCCAGGGCCACCAGCACUUAGGUUAGACCAGAGCAGGCCCAGGGGACACGUGGGGGCGAAAUCCAAAGUAGCAUCACUGCCAGUUAAGAAACAAAGGCGCCAAUGUGUAACACUUUUAGAACCAUCUCUCAGUGGCCACUUUGCCAGUGUGGCCACUCAGCAGAGUGGCAUCUGAUGUCACGCAGGCUGUGCAGUCCUCUGAUGCCCGGCUGCCCAGCAGCUAGCCCAGAGCACGCUCAUGGCUCCCCUGGCCGCCUCAGCCCAGCCAUUCCAGGACAGGAAAGUCUCAAAGACUUUCCCGCCACGGACUCCAGAGAGCUUAGCUUUCAUAAGUUUCUGGCACGGCUAAGGCCCCUGAGGAAACACUGACCGUCUGAAAAGGACCAGAAGGCAUUUCGCAGUUCCUACGCAACUGCUGAGUAAAGUGUCCACAAGCAUUGCAAUGACCAGUUCCCAGACCCCCAGGGGACCUCGGGUGCCCGAGACUUUCCGAAGCCACACGGGGCAGACAGCGCAGACGGUAUAACUCUGUCUUUACUCAUCUACCAUAAACUCCAACUAGACUUCGCGCAGCCUGCUUGUCCACCCUGAACUCUUCCAUCCGAGAUGACCUUGUGCCCCAUUCCCACCGGGAACCCGGCUCCCGGCCCUGCCGACAUCGCCCACCAGAACCCCUGGCCUGGCCUCCUCCUUGCUGCGACCUUCACGGGGUCACAGUCCCAGGAAGGAAAUGCCUGGGUCCUCGGUGUCAGCAUUUUCCUUUGGCCCCGCAUCCCAGCCUGAUCUGGACAGUAUGGUGAUUAUUUUUUUACUUGAAUUUUUGGACUUCCUUCUAUCUUCCCUUUUGAGAUAGUCCAACAAGAGGGUGAAUGUGAAGUGGCUUUCAUUAUUUUUGUUUAGACAAGCUUUAGCUACGCUGCCCAGGCUAGCCCCAACCAAACUCCUGGGUCCAAGUGACCCUCCUGUCCCAGUCUCAGAUUUUAGGGGUAUUCUAUUGCACUCACCUCUGAAAUGGCUUUCAAAAAGGCAAGAAAUAAUUUGAAUGUAACAAUUAUUGCUUAAUAAAUGGCUGCAAAGAUGUGUUUAAGCUCCCCCAAAGGGACCAUGUCUUGCUGGACACAGGGCACAGGACAAGGGACCUGCUCUGGGGAGGUCCAGGGAGAGGCCAUGAACCGGAUGUCAGCCACACCCUCGGGGUCCAGGCCCACCAGCACAUCACUUCGCCCUAGCGCUGGGGCUCCAAAGACUUCUGAGGGGCCGAAGGAAGACCACGGGAGAGGGAGUGGGCGACGUUUGUGAUGCUGAACCCCGCUCUGGAAGGUGCCUCCGACACCCAACCGUUACCAGCAGGACAUCUGCAGGUUCAUCUGCAACAGGAGCUAAGUGCCAGUGCUGUGAGCCGCCUCCCUCCGCCAGGCCCUUCCACUGUAGCGUGACCACACAAGGACUGAAACUUCUAAAACCCAAGCAGCAGUAAACCUCUCCUCCCAGCGACAAGGACAUGAUUAAAAGCAGCGGGAAGUGGGGGCCAGCUGGCUUGGUGAGCAGGAGUCAGAGCCAGCAGUGGGUCCCACGGUGGGUUCCACGGUGCUGGUGCCCCUGUCCCCUAGGUCAAGCACGUCCAGGGCUGGGCCGGCCUGGCCUCGGCGGGUCCCCUGCUCCUGGCGUGGCUUGACAGUCACUCCAAGGGUUCUGCAGUGCUCUUCUCUGAGACGUCAGGGCCUGGCAGACGACUGCACCCCCGAGGCCGAGGACACCGCUGAGACAGCCGGGCGUCUCCCCUCACCGCGGAGUCUGCCUGCCCCAGACCCCCUGUGCCGUGUGACAGGGCAAGAGGGUGCGCAGUGGCUGCUUCUGUGAGCCGGAAGACAGGAGAACCCAUCUGGACCUCACUGUCUUCAAAUAUGGGGAAGGAAGGACUCCUGGUGUGAGGAAACCCUCCAGAGGCCUAGAGAGCUUUGGAGCGAUUCCGAUUCACCACCACUGCCAGUGAGGUGUGGCCCUGGUGGGUGAGGGGCUCGUGUCAGGCCCUAGGAGCGACCCGGGUGGUGCCACGCAGUGCCUGGGCAUCUGGGCACUCGCCACAUGGAGCCAUUUUCUAAAGCCAUCAUCCAACACCAGGGCCUGCCAGGGCCAACGCCAGCAUCCUGCGGUCAGUCGUCUGCUCCUCCAUCAGUUUUGUUUUUUGUUGUUGUUGUUGGUUUUUUGAGACAGUGUCUCUCCCUGUAGCCCAGGGUGGGCUCGAAUUCAAGCGACUUCUCCUUCUUCAGCCUCCCAAGUGCUGGACUGCAGGCACGUGCCACCGCACCCGGCCCUCCAUCUCUUAUUUUGGUACUGAGAAGGGAACCUGGGGCCUCGCACACGGGAGAAGAGGACCUUACCACAGCUCCACCCUCAGCCGCACUCCCCAUUUGAUAGCCAGAUGUACCCCCGCCUCUCUCUCUCUCUCUCUCUGUCUCUCUCUCACACACACACAUGCACACACGCGCACUCCCACUCUCCCAAGCCCCCCGGGGGCUGGGGACCAAGCGUUCUCUCCCAGCUCACCCUGGGACGGAACUCAGCUCCUCCAUGGCUUUGAAACGUCGCUGCCGCUCGGAGCCAAGAGGGCAGAGGGGAAGCUCAGAGCGCAGUGAAGAGCUAGGAUGGAGGCAGCACCCUUUGCUAAGAAACAGCGUUCUUGUGAUUUACGUCGCCACCCCGUGACCCAGCCGUCUGGUGCGCAGCACUCCGUGGCUUUGGUACAUUCCGGUGGUCCAACCCUCACUACACGUGUCCUUUGUGCUUUUUAAGGUUUUCCAGCCGGGGGUACAGCUCAGCAGUGCAGUGCCUGCCUGGCAAGCGCGAGGCCCUGAGUUCGAUUCCUGGCACCAAAAAAAAAAAAAAAAAGAUUUUCCUAUUUGUGUUUCAUUCAUUUGAAUACGUGAAUGAAUACAACUAAAUACUCAUCCCUCACCUCCUCCGGGAAGCCCCUCGGCUCCGCAGUGUGUCGUGGCUCCCUGAUCCAGGGUGCUCAGCGCAGUUCUGAUCCCCACGUUUUAUGUACACUCAGCUUUGAGCUCACUGAGGACAGGAUGAGGGUCCUCCUUUGUCAUGUAUCUAUGUGAGUCUGGCGGUCAAAGGAUGGCCAAGGAGUAUUUGAUGAGUGAAUGAGUGAAAUCUGGAAGGACAGGGAAGGUGGGACGGGCGGGCGUGGCCUGAGUGGGCAGAGAGAUGCCCGGCCUGCCUUGUCCUGGGUCCGUCCAGCCUGCCUCAGCCGCCUGUUCCCACAUCACUGGGUCCCUGUCACGCACCCUCCCCGCUGACCCUCCCCCAGGCCGAGCCGCUUCCCUUCCUGCACUUCAGCGACGUCAGGAGGGAGCUGCGUCACAGACGUGGUGACGGCCGCGGUAGAGGGGCCCAGAAGCCCGUGUCGAGGGGACAACGCACAGGCCUCUCCAGGAGCGCAUGGGUGGAGCAGACACUGUGAGGCCGCAGUGUCAGCCACUGAGGGUCAGGGGACCGAGCAGAGACAGACAGGCUGAGCCCAAGCCUGCAGCAGGGUGACCUGCAGAGCCAGGAGGGAGGAAGCACUGGCUGUGUGUGUGUGUGUGUGUGUGUGUGUGUGUAAGGCUAAGGACCCCUGGGGGCCCUGUUCCACACCCCCACGCAGGCCAGCCUGGAGCCCCUGCCCGGACAUGGACCUCAGCCUGGAGCCACAGGUCUCCGUCCCCACCUGCCCCAGGAAGGGCAGGUACGGUGUCUCUCUGUGUUUGUUUUGGGAACAAGACAGAGUAUUUUCAUCCAUCACG